AAACUUUUUGAGGUUAAAAUCUCAUUUUAUAUUCUUUGUAAUUUUUCAUUCAAACUGAGAUCAAUAUUAUAAUUUUUAUUAAAUUAUAUUUCUUGCUAAAUUUCCAAGUUGAGGUUCAUCAGUUGUAUUGGAAAGAAUGGAAGCCUCUAAUUUACAUUACUAUGCUCUCCAGUUGCCACCUCGUGCCAGUGAAUCGAUCACAAAAGAGCAGCUCAACUUGGAACAAGAAGACAUUCACAUAUGCGGCUACUGCAAGGAACCUUUCAAUGACAUGAGAAUUUUCCUUGAUCAUAAAACAGAAUGCACAUCAAAAUCCUCAAAUUUUUCGUUUAAAAAGCCUGCAGUUGAACUAAUUUCAGCUGAGUCACACAUUUUACAAGUUGUAGUUGAUGGGGAAGUGGCAAGUCUACAUAAUCAGUCGGUGACUAGACCUGCUGCUAGUUUGCUAAUAUGCACCAAUUCCUUUCCAUCAGGGAAUGAUUUCCUUAGAAUCGAGGAUAAGCUCACUCUCUCCUCGGAUAGUAAAAUUGAGAGUUAUUCCACUGAUACCUGUACGCAGUCACAAAUGAAGCUAGAUCCAGCUAAUACACUUCCCGGUGAUAAUAAUGAAAUAAUCAUUCGGAACAAAACAAGUGCCAGUUCAGCUUCUAAAGCAACGCAAUUUUCCAAGAAACAAAUAAAAUGUAAGAAGGUGGAAUUGUUUGUUCCGGAUAAUAAUAACAGUAAUGUGGAGACCCCUUCUACUCGAAAUAAACAUAGUGUUGGAAUCAAACGGAAAAAUAACAAACAAGGCACAUCCAGAAAGUUCUACAUCUGUUCCAGUUGCGACUUUGUUACUCUAUAUCCUAAUGAUCUGACAAGACAUACUAGGAAACAUACAGGAGAGCGGCCGUUUGAAUGUUCGAUUUGUCAAAGAAAAUUCGCUCGCAAGGAUAAACUGCAAACUCACUUGCGCACACACACAGGUGAAAAGCCGUACAAAUGUCAGUUCUGUGAUUAUGCAGCUGUCAGUGUGUGUCCUCUUCGGAAACACCUUCGCACGCACACUGAUGAAAGACCUUUCAAGUGCCAGUUCUGCUCUUACUGUUCAAGAGAUUCAUCCCAGUUGACAGUUCAUCUUAGAAGACAUACAGGUGAUGCUCCGUUCAUUUGCCAAUUUGCGUCCUGUGGCAGAGCGUUCAAAACCAGCACUGACUUGAAGCGACACAAACCUAUUCAUGCCAAGAAACCCUCAUUGGUGUGCAAGAAAUGCAAGUUUAGAGCUGAUAGUGAAAAAAAUCUUCAAGCCCAUAACCGACUCCAUCAUGAUGUUUUAAAAUGCUCUGUUAACAAAUCUCAAGUUAUAGCGAAUGAGACACAAGAUGAGCCUACAGAUCUUAAUAAUUCACAAAAAAAUGUAUUCAGGAACAAAUGCAACUCCAGGCAUAAAGCAAGCAAGAGCUAUUUAUGUAAACUUUGUGACGAAGCUGACCUGAAAACUAUCUCUCCAAAUUAUCAUACAAGGAAACGUCAUCGAGUAAAUAGAGGAAAUAAGUUCAAUAAUUCUGUAUUUCAAAAGACAUUCCAAUGCACUCAUUGCUCUCUCUCGUUUGUUAGACAAGAUUCUUUGAGAUGUCAUUUAAAGCAACAUCAAUCAUUCAGCACUCAGGGAACUGGGAGAUGAAGUCCUCCAGGCUAUUGAUAUCUCGCAUCUGGCUCUGGAAAAACAUCAGCGGCUUGCCGAGUAAUAGACUGGACAGUUGGAAACGCCAUACUAACCAAGAGGCUGGCGGUGGCGGAUGACGGUUGACUGGUCACAUCGGAUGGUGGCUGGAUGGCGGCCUUUUCUGUUCCCUCAGCGGCGCUUGGAGCGAUCUGCGGAGACGCCGGCACCAGGUUGGAUGCCCUCACUCCUUCAUCCCCCUCAGCCAGACUCUCAUCGGAAUUAAUCGCAUCGAUGACGUUAUCGAUCUUCGUAGAAGACAAUUGGGCCAAGUUUUGUGGGUCGAAAUUGAUGGAUCCAACAUCACCAGGGGGCGAGAUCCUGAUUCCGGACAGCCCCAUUCAGCGCUUGGCUCCAGCACCUAUGUGGGCGCCACGGCGUGCGGUGCUGACAACGCUGAGCAACAAGAUCAAGCAGAGACAGGCCAAGAGGAAACUAACCUUCAAGGAGGCUGAAGUCAGCGGCGAAGAGGAGGAUAAGGUGCUCACUCAAUCAAAGAAACGAGCUGUAAUGCAUGAGGACUCCUCACUCGCACCGUUAAUAAAGGAGGUGGAGGCUGAAUUGGACUUUGUCCAACUCAUCAACAAACCUCUACCCAAGCCAUGGGUGCCGCUGCGAGAGUUGGAGGAGGAUCAUCCAUACCGCAUCGUCGCGGUGAGGGAGGACACCAAUAAACACGGGCGACGUGUAAUUUUAAAAAUAAUCAAUGCAGGAAGCAAAUGCGAGGUGUAUCUGCCUCAAAGAUUUGCUUCCUGCAUUGACGCGGGAAAAAUACACCAUUUCAAUGAAACUUGUAAAAAUUAUGUGUUAGUAGUAACACAUAAGUCUCCAAAUUGGACAGAUAUAAAAAUUGUUAAAGCUUAACAAUUUUUAUAUCUGUAUACAAUUCGUUGACCUAUGUGUUACGAAUUGUAUAGAUGUAUGUGUGUGAAUAGUUGAAUAAAAUGUGUGCAUAUUUGAUAAAAAA
rnacentral:misc_RNA from 1 species